GAUGAAGAACGCAGCGAAAUGCGAUAAGUAAUGUGAAUUGCAGAAUUCAGUGAAUCAUCGAAUCUUUGAACGCACCUUGCGCCCUUUGGCUAUUCUGAAGGGCAUGCCUGUUUGAGUAUCAUGAACACCUCAACUCUCAUGGUUUGCCAUGAUGAGCUUGGACUUUGGGGGUCUUGCUGGCCUACGGUCAGCUCCUCUCAAAUGAAUCAGCUUGCCAGUGUUUGGUAGAGUCGCAGGUGUGAUAACUAUCUACGCUUGUGGUUUUCUGCCAGAUAACCUUCAGUGAUGGAGGUUCGCUGGAGCUUAUAAAUGUCUCUCCCCAGUGAGGACAGCUUUUUGAACGUUUGAUCUCGAAUCAGGUAGGACUACCCGCUGAACUUAAGCAUAUCAAUAAGCGGAGGA
rnacentral:misc_RNA from 1 species